CAAGGAGCAAAGCAGUAGUAACAACAGGAUGAGCUCUCAAAUAAGUGUGAUACCCUAUUUCAUGCUUAAAAGAUCAAAGUGAGAAAUUAUUUUUACUCUUCUGUAAUAGUCCAGUUCCUCCAGCAAGAAUACUCCAAUGUGGAAUUCAAAAUGCGAGGCAGAAACAUCUCUAAAUAAAGGGUAAUGUAGGUUAUGAUAUCUACAGCCAGCCAUGAGCCAGUGCAUGAAGAUAUAAAGGUCAACUGAAAGUGAACACAGAGAAACAAAAAAAUGCAUUUGAGGCCAAUUAAGGUGGUUUUCAACCAGUUCUCCAUUCAGCUUUCUAAAAAUCAAACCAGCAGAAUUCUCUUUGAUUUGCAGUUGGUUUUUUACUUAGGACAAAUAAUUUUAAAACAUUAGAAAAUCAUGGAUAAAUUUUAUAAUAAAA
rnacentral:lncRNA from 1 species